rnacentral:rRNA from 1 species
GACGAACGCUGGCGGCGUGCUUAACACAUGCAAGUCGAACGGAAAGGCCCCUUUGUUGGUACUCGAGUGGCGGACGGGUGAGUAACACGUGAGUAACCUGCCCUUGCCUUCGGGAUAACUUCAGGAAACUGAGGCUAAUACCGGUUAGGGAUCCUUUCUGCAUGGUGGGGGUUGGAAAGCUUCGGCGGUUUUUGAUGGACUGGCGGCGUAUCAGCUUGUUGGGGGGGUAGUGGCUUACCAAGGCUUUGACGGGUAGCCGGCCUGUGUGGGCGACCGGCCAUCUUGGGACCUAGGGACGGCACAAGUAGGUAAGGGUGGCAGAAGGGGGGAAUCUUGAAGAAUGGGCGGAGGGCUGAUGAAGCAAGUCUGCGUGCCGGAUGACGGCGUUAGGGGUGAAGAACGAAUUUAGAAGGGGCGAAGCAUGUCGUGACGGUACCUGCAGAAGAAGCAACGGCUAACUACGUG